rnacentral:rRNA from 1 species
UAGAAAAUUAAUAAAUUUAUAAUUAAUAAAAAUAAUUUUAAUAUUAAAAUUGGGGGGUUUUAGUAUUAAUAAAGAAAAAAUUAUAAUAUUUAUAGUUAAAUAGUAUUGUAAGAGAAAUUUAAAAUAGUAUUGAAAAAAAAAUUAUUUAAAAGUAAAUUUUAUUUAUUGUAUCUUGUGUAUCAGAGUUUAUUAAUUAUAAUUUUAAUUAAAUUAUUUUCGAAUUUAAAAGAGAUAAUUAAUUAUAAAAGUUAUUGUGGCAUAAAUAUUUUACAUAAUUAAUUUGAAAUGAAAUGUUAAUCGUUUUUAAAGAUAUCUAGUUUUUUUAGAAAAAAAUUUAAUUUUUUUUUCUUUUUAAAUUUAUUUAAUUAAUUAAAUAAAUUUAAAAAGAAAAAUUAUAUUUUAAGGGAUAAGCUUUAAAUUAAAUUUUUAUAAUUAUUUAAUUAAUUAUUUUUAAAAUUUUUAAAAUUUAUAUUGUUUAUAAUUUUUAUUUUAUUAUAAAAAAUUUUAUUAAUUAAUAAAAUUUUUUAAUAAUUUAAUUUUUUAUAAAAAAAAAUUAUUUAAUAAAAAUUUAAUUGUUAUAAUGAUAAAAUUAGUAUUAAAUAAAAAAAAAAUAUUAAAGAAAUAAAAAAUAAAUUUAAGGAAUUCGGCAAAAUUUUAUAUUCACUUGUUUAUCAAAAACAUGUCUUUUUGAAAAUAAUUUAAAGUCUAAUCUGCCCACUGAUUUAAUUAUUAAAGGGCUGCAGUAUUUUGACUGUACAAAGGUAGCAUAAUCAAUAGUCUUUUAAUUGGUGACUUGUAUGAAAGAUUGAAUGAAAUAUAAACUGUCUCAAAUUUAAAAUAAAAGAAAUUAAUUUUUUGAUUAAAAAGUCAAAAUAAUUUUAAAAGACGAGAAGACCCUAUAGAGUUUUAUAAUAUUUUUUAUUAAAAUUAUAUAUUAAAAUUAAUAAUUAAAAUUAAAUUAUAUUAUUUUGUUGGGGUGAUAAAAAAAUAAAAAUAACUUUUUUUUUAAUUAAAUCAUAAAUAAAUGAUUAAUUGAUCCAAAAAUAUUUUGAUUAAAAGAAAAAAUUACCUUAGGGAUAACAGCGUAAUUUUUUUUUUUAGUUCAUAUAAAAAAAAGAGUUUGCGACCUCGAUGUUGGAUUAAGAUAAAAUUUAUAUGCAAAAGUAUAAAAUUUUGAUCUGUUCGAUCAUUAAAAUCUUACAUGAUCUGAGUUCAAACCGGUGUGAGCCAGGUUGGUUUCUAUCUUUAUAAAAAAAAAAUAUUUUAGUACGAAAGGAAUAAAUAUUUAAAUUAAAUUUAUUUUAUUGAAUAUUAAUAAUAAUAAUAUAAAUUAUUUAAUAUAUAUAUAUACACACAUAUAUAUAUAUAUAUAUAUAUAUAUAUAUAUAUAUAUUAUGA